UAUCGUAGAGUGGAAAUUAUUGCGACAUGACAAUGCGCGGAAAUCGGGUCGGUCGGCGACAGUGCGCCAGAAAUUGAUCUGUCGCGCUCGUGAGCGUCGCGACGCGGCGCGUCGCGUUGUGUCGCGUCGCAUUACAUCGUGUCGCCUUCUAAUUUCAUCUUUCGCGAGCGCGAUUGACUUCCUUCGCGGACAGGAAUGAUUUUGGAUGCGUGCGUGUUGAGGGAAGCGAUCGAUCAAAUCAGAAGAUCGGGAUGAUGCGAAGGAAUGGUUUCAUGAGAGAAGAAACAGCCGUCCGACGAUUCCCAUGCCGAUUGAUGAAAGUUACAUAAGUUAUACUGAAAGAAAAGAUUGGCUGCUGCAACAAAUAAGAUGAGAGAAAAAGAAAUGAUGAAUCUUGGAGAAAUAUAAAGAUCAACGGAGGAUCAAAUGUACAAUCAAAUAAUAUCUAAUUAUAUUUACAGUAAACAGGUUUAAAAAAACGACAAAAAUUAAUGUCGCUAUACAUCUUCCACAUAAUGUUUCUUGUCAAUGAACAUAUUCACAAAAAAAGACGACAAUUUAAUUAAUUACGAUCAAUAACAGACCAAUUAUUACUACGAAAUAAACGCUUAAAAAAGAAACUCUCUACAAAUUAUUAUUGCAGGACAUAAUAUAAUGCUCUAUGUGUACAGAGGAAGAAAGAAUUCUCUUGGGGUAAAUUCAUUUUCUUGCAAUAUACUAUUGAGUAAACAAUAUGAAACUUACAAUUAGAGUUCGAAGACUUGGAGCUCUAUUGUGCCUUUCCGCUGGUUUUCUUCAUCGGAUGCAAUUUCCCCGGGUUGCGUUUCCGUACGAAACAAAGUUGCGCUGUCGUUCAAAAAUUCGUAACAGGCUUGAAAGGACACGAUUCCCAGACGACAUUCCCAACCUUUGAAUAAUAUGAUUUGUACACCCGGCGCACAUCGCUGCACGUAAGCAAUACUGAAGGAUUAAUGGCGUGUCGUCAUAAAAAAUCGCAAUAAUUCACACUCAGCAGAGAAAUAUUAUGAUUAAAGGGUUAGAUAGAUUAUUUUAGAUUAUAAUAA